rnacentral:rRNA from 1 species
UGGGGAAUAUUGGACAAUGGGCGAAAGCCUGAUCCAGCAAUGCCGCGUGAGUGAAGAAGGCCUUAGGGUUGUAAAGCUCUUUCGCCUGCGACGAUGAUGACGGUAGCAGGAGAAGAAGCCCCGGCUAAUUCCGUGCCAGCAGCCGCGGUAAUACGGAAGGGGCUAGCGUUGUUCGGAAUCACUGGGCGUAAAGCGCGCGUAGGCGGCUUGGCAAGUGAGGCGUGAAAGUCCUGGGCUCAACCUGGGGACUGCGCUUCAGACUGCUUGGCUUGAGUCCGGAAGAGGGUGGUGGAAUUCCGAGUGUAGAGGUGAAAUUCGUAGAUAUUCGGAGGAACACCGGCGGCGAAGGCGGCCACCUGGUCCGGAACUGACGCUCAAGUGCGAAAGCGUGGGGAGCAAA